AAAUAGAUGUCUGACGUUUAAAUACAUUUGAAACAUUGAAAUUUCAGCAGAAAUUUAAACCAAGUCCUGUAAAAGUUAGAUUCUUUUACGGAAAGGGUGAUAUUUAAACUAACUGAAAAGAUAUGCCGAAACCGCCGGACACCGUAACUGUAAAAUUCAAAAUUACUUCCAAGACAACAGCAGGGGAUCUGAAGAGAAUGGUAUACCGCAAAUACAAUCUCCCCGUAGAACACCAGCGGUUGGUUGUGUCACAUCAAAUACCUAAAGAGAAUGAUUUUUUAUCAUUGUAUGAUGUGAAAGAAGGCAGUGGUGUGUUUCUUUACCUUGUUCCUACAACAAAACAUCACUCCACAACAGCACAAUAUGAUAGAUACUUAAGUUCAGAAGAUGAAACGUCCAGCAGGGAUGUAAGUUCCCCAUUAUGAGAGAAAGUCAUUGUAGGUUGCCAAACAUUUUAUGAACAACCAGUUUGCAUAUCCACUUGCCAAAUGCUUUGAAAGUCCAUGUUACUUCAGCACCUCCUAUCCAUCCCGCAUGGAAGUGUUUCGAAUGUACUUAUGAAUACACCGUUUUCCACCCUGGUUGUAAAAUAUUAAAUGAAACACGAUGUAAUUGUUAUCAAAUACCAUACAGCUAUGUAAUGAGCACGUUCGAGAAAUACUUUUAAAAAUAACAGAAAAACAUAGAAAUGUGCUGAAAGAGGAGGAUCCGACCUACUGGCAAGUAAAGAGUUAAUACAAAUUUCAAAAAUUUGAAAGACAAAAAUCAAACAAGAUUGUCGCAUAAUAAAGUGAAAACGUGCUCUAA
rnacentral:lncRNA from 1 species